AGUCACUGACAUUAGACUACCCGGUAGUCCCAGCCGUAAACUAUGCGCGUUAGGUGUAUCGGUGACCACGAGUCACCGAGGUGCCGAAGGGAAACCGUGAAACGUGCCGCCUGGGAAGUACGGUCGCAAGGCUGAAACUUAAAGGAAUUGGCGGGGGAGCACAACAACGGGUGGAGCCUGCGGUUUAAUUGGACUCAACGCCGGACAACUCACCGGGAACGACAGCAAUAUGUAGGCCAGGCUGAGGACCUUGCCUGAAUCGCUG
rnacentral:rRNA from 1 species